AUGGACAGCGUGUUCGGCGUGGUGGGCGGCGGCUUCGCGGUGGUGGCCGCCGGCACCUCCGCCGCGGGAAGAAGCGUCGUGUUCAUCAACCCCGACAACGACAGGGUCACGAGCCUCGGCUCCAAACUGCUUCUCGGCGUGUCCGGCGUCCCCGGAGACUGCCUGCGGUUAAGGGAUGAGGUGAGGGCCAGCACGAGCAAGAUCCACAGCGCCGCCGCGGCUGCUGACGUCGCCCGGGGGGCGGUGAUCGGCUGCGCUCAGUCCGCGAACGCGGUGAUCGCCGGCUACGACAAGGCCGAGGGCCCGACGAUGUACGCCGUAGGCGGCACUGCGCCGCCGGAGCGGGUGGAGCAGUACCGCACCGCUGGGUGCGGGGCGGGCCUCUGCACGGCGGUGAUGGAGAACCACUACCGCCCCGGCAUGACGGUGAAGGAGGCUGUGGCGCUCGUAGACAGGUGCAUCAAGGAGGUCCGGCGGCUCGGGCUGGCUAGCUUCGUGAUCAUGGUCGUGGACAAGGAUGGGGCCAGGGAGUACACCAGGCGUAUACUAAGGCCGAAGGCGGUGAUAGAAAUAAAAUCCAGUCAGGGAACGCCUAUUGUAAGCACGAAUAAUUAA
rnacentral:rRNA from 1 species